rnacentral:rRNA from 1 species
UACGUAGGUGACAAGCGUUGUCCGGAUUUACUGGGCGUAAAGAGCGCGCAGGCGGUCGAUCAAGUCGAGUGUGAAAGCCCCCGGCUCAACUGGGGAGGGUCAUUCGAUACUGAUCGACUCGAAGGCAGGAGAGGGUAGUGGAAUUCCCGGUGUAGUGGUGAAAUGCGUAGAUAUCGGGAGGAACACCAGUGGCGAAGGCGACUACCUGGCCUGUUCUUGACGCUGAGGCGCGAAAGCUAGGGGAGCAAACAGGGAU